rnacentral:rRNA from 1 species
UACGAAGGGGGCUAGCGUUGUUCGGAAUUACUGGGCGUAAAGGGCGCGUAGGCGGUACUUCAAGUCAGGCGUGAAAGCCCCGGGCUCAACCUGGGGACCGCGCUUGAGACUGGAGAACUAGAGUUCGGGAGAGGAUGGUGGAAUUCCCAGUGUAGAGGUGAAAUUCGUAGAUAUUGGGAAGAACACCGAUGGCGAAGGCAGCCAUCUGGACCGACACUGACGCUGAGGCGCGAAAGCGUGGGGAGCAAACAGG